UACGGGGGGUGCAAGCGUUAUUCGGAAUUAUUGGGCGUAAAGGGCGCGUAGGCGGUCUUGUCGGUCAGAUGUGAAAGCCCGGGGCUCAACCCUGGAAGUGCAUUUGAAACAGCAAGACUUGAGCACGGGAGAGGAGAGCGGAAUUCCUGGUGUAGAGGUGAAAUUCGUAGAUAUCAGGAGGAACACCGAUGGCGAAGGCAGCUCUCUGGACCGAUACUGACGCUGAGGCGCGAAGGCGUGGGUAGCGAACAGGAUUAGAAACCCCGGUAGUCC
rnacentral:rRNA from 1 species